rnacentral:lncRNA from 12 species
AUGAUAUUAGUUAUUAGUUGUGCACUUUUUUUUUUUUUUUUUUUUUUUUUUUUUUUUUUUUUUUUUUUUUUUUUUUUUUUUUUUUUUUUUUUUUUUUUUUUUUUUUUUUUUUUUUUUUUUUUUUUUUUUUUUUUUUUUUUUUUUUUUUUUUUUUUUUUUUUUUUUUUUUUUUUUUUUUUUUUUUUUUUUUUUUUUUUUUUUUUUUUUUUUUUUUUUUUUUUUUUUUUUUUUUUUUUUUUUUUUUUUUUUUUUUUUUUUUUUUUUUUUUUUUUUUUUUUUUUUUUUUUUUUUUUUUUUUUUUUUUUUUUUUUUUUUUUUUUUUUUUUUUUUUUUUUUUUUUUUUUUUUUUUUUUUUUUUUUUUUUUUUUUUUUUUUUUUUUUUUUUUUUUUUUUUUUUUUUUUUUUUUUUUUUUUUUUUUUUUUUUUUUUUUUUUUUUUUUUUUUUUUUUUUUUUUUUUUUUUUUUUUUUUUUUUUUUUUUUUUUUUUUUUUUUUUUUUUUUUUUUUUUUUUUUUUUUUUUUUUUUUUUUUUUUUUUUUUUUUUUUUUUUUUUUUUUUUUUUUUUUUUUUUUUUUUUUUUUUUUUUUUUUUUUUUUUUUUUUUUUUUUUUUUUUUUUUUUUUUUUUUUUUUUUUUUUUUUUUUUUUUUUUUUUUUUUUUUUUUUUUUUUUUUUUUUUUUUUUUUUUUUUUUUUUUUUUUUUUUUUUUUUUUUUUUUUUUUUUUUUUUUUUUUUUUUUUUUUUUUUUUUUUUUUUUUUUUUUUUUUUUUUUUUUUUUUUUUUUUUUUUUUUUUUUUUUUUUUUUUUUUUUUUUUUUUUUUUUUUUUUUUUUUUUUUUUUUUUUUUUUUUUUUUUUUUUUUUUUUUUUUUUUUUUUUUUUUUUUUUUUUUUUUUUUUUUUUUUUUUUUUUUUUUUUUUUUUUUUUUUUUUUUUUUUUUUUUUUUUUUUUUUUUUUUUUUUUUUUUUUUUUUUUUUUUUUUUUUUUUUUUUUUUUUUUUUUUUUUUUUUUUUUUUUUUUUUUUUUUUUUUUUUUUUUUUUUUUUUUUUUUUUUUUUUUUUUUUUUUUUUUUUUUUUUUUUUUUUUUUUUUUUUUUUUUUUUUUUUUUUUUUUUUUUUUUUUUUUUUUUUUUUUUUUUUUUUUUUUUUUUUUUUUUUUUUUUUUUUUUUUUUUUUUUUUUUUUUUUUUUUUUUUUUUUUUUUUUUUUUUUUUUUUUUUUUUUUUUUUUUUUUUUUUUUUUUUUUUUUUUUUUUUUUUUUUUUUUUUUUUUUUUUUUUUUUUUUUUUUUUUUUUUUUUUUUUUUUUUUUUUUUUUUUUUUUUUUUUUUUUUUUUUUUUUUUUUUUUUUUUUUUUUUUUUUUUUUUUUUUUUUUUUUUUUUUUUUUUUUUUUUUUUUUUUUUUUUUUUUUUUUUUUUUUUUUUUUUUUUUUUUUUUUUUUUUUUUUUUUUUUUUUUUUUUUUUUUUUUUUUUUUUUUUUUUUUUUUUUUUUUUUUUUUUUUUUUUUUUUUUUUUUUUUUUUUUUUUUUUUUUUUUUUUUUUUUUUUUUUUUUUUUUUUUUUUUUUUUUUUUUUUUUUUUUUUUUUUUUUUUUUUUUUUUUUUUUUUUUUUUUUUUUUUUUUUUUUUUUUUUUUUUUUUUUUUUUUUUUUUUUUUUUUUUUUUUUUUUUUUUUUUUUUUUUUUUUUUUUUUUUUUUUUUUUUUUUUUUUUUUUUUUUUUUUUUUUUUUUUUUUUUUUUUUUUUUUUUUUUUUUUUUUUUUUUUUUUUUUUUUUUUUUUUUUUUUUUUUUUUUUUUUUUUUUUUUUUUUUUUUUUUUUUUUUUUUUUUUUUUUUUUUUUUUUUUUUUUUUUUUUUUUUUUUUUUUUUUUUUUUUUUUUUUUUUUUUUUUUUUUUUUUUUUUUUUUUUUUUUUUUUUUUUUUUUUUUUUUUUUUUUUUUUUUUUUUUUUUUUUUUUUUUUUUUUUUUUUUUUUUUUUUUUUUUUUUUUUUUUUUUUUUUUUUUUUUUUUUUUUUUUUUUUUUUUUUUUUUUUUUUUUUUUUUUUUUUUUUUUUUUUUUUUUUUUUUUUUUUUUUUUUUUUUUUUUUUUUUUUUUUUUUUUUUUUUUUUUUUUUUUUUUUUUUUUUUUUUUUUUUUUUUUUUUUUUUUUUUUUUUUUUUUUUUUUUUUUUUUUUUUUUUUUUUUUUUUUUUUUUUUUUUUUUUUUUUUUUUUUUUUUUUUUUUUUUUUUUUUUUUUUUUUUUUUUUUGUGGUUGA